rnacentral:rRNA from 1 species
GAUUAGUGGCGAACGGGUGAGUAACACGUGAGUAACCUGCCCCUGACUCUGGGAUAAGCGUUGGAAACGACGUCUAAUACUGGAUAUGACUGCUGGUCGCAUGGCCUGGUGGUGGAAAGAUUUUUUGGUUGGGGAUGGACUCGCGGCCUAUCAGCUUGUUGGUGAGGUAAUGGCUCACCAAGGCGACGACGGGUAGCCGGCCUGAGAGGGUGACCGGCCACACUGGGACUGAGACACGGCCCAGACUCCUACGGGAGGCAGCAGUGGGGAAUAUUGCACAAUGGGCGAAAGCCUGAUGCAGCAACGCCGCGUGAGGGAUGACGGCCUUCGGGUUGUAAACCUCUUUUAGUAGGGAAGAAGCGAAAGUGACGGUACCUGCAGAAAAAGCACCGGCUAACUACGUGCCAGCAGCCGCGGUAAUACGUAGGGUGCAAGCGUUGUCCGGAAUUAUUGGGCGUAAAGAGCUCGUAGGCGGUUUGUCGCGUCUGCUGUGAAAUCCCGAGGCUCAACCUCGGGCUUGCAGUGGGUACGGGCAGACUAGAGUGCGGUAGGGGAGAUUGGAAUUCCUGGUGUAGCGGUGGAAUGCGCAGAUAUCAGGAGGAACACCGAUGGCGAAGGCAGAUCUCUGGGCCGUAACUGACGCUGAGGAGCGAAAGCGUGGGGAGCGAACAGGAUUAGAUACCCUGGUAGUCCACGCCGUAAACGUUGGGCGCUAGAUGUAGGGACCUUUCCACGGUUUCUGUGUCGUAGCUAACGCAUUAAGCGCCCCGCCUGGGGAGUACGGCCGCAAGGCUAAAACUCAAAGGAAUUGACGGGGGCCCGCACAAGCGGCGGAGCAUGCGGAUUAAUUCGAUGCAACGCGAAGAACCUUACCAAGGCUUGACAUACACCGGAAACGGCCAGAGAUGGUCGCCCCCUUGUGGUCGGUGUACAGGUGGUGCAUGGUUGUCGUCAGCUCGUGUCGUGAGAUGUUGGGUUAAGUCCCGCAACGAGCGCAACCCUCGUUCUAUGUUGCCAGCGCGUUAUGGCGGGGACUCAUAGGAGACUGCCGGGGUCAACUCGGAGGAAGGUGGGGAUGACGUCAAAUCAUCAUGCCCCUUAUGUCUUGGGCUUCACGCAUGCUACAAUGGCCGGUACAAAGGGCUGCGAUACCGUAAGGUGGAGCGAAUCCCAAAAAGCCGGUCUCAGUUCGGAUUGAGGUCUGCAACUCGACCUCAUGAAGUCGGAGUCGCUAGUAAUCGCAGAUCAGCAACGCUGCGGUGAAUACGUUCCCGGGCCUUGUACACACCGCCCGUCAAGUCAUGAAAGUCGGUAACACCCGAAGCCGGUGGCCUAACCC